rnacentral:rRNA from 1 species
UGGGGAAUAUUGGACAAUGGGCGAGAGCCUGAUCCAGCCAUGCCGCGUGUGUGAAGAAGGUCUUCGGAUUGUAAAGCACUUUAAGUUGGGAGGAAGGGCAUUAACCUAAUACGUUAGUGUUUUGACGUUACCGACAGAAUAAGCACCGGCUAACUCUGUGCCAGCAGCCGCGGUAAUACAGAGGGUGCAAGCGUUAAUCGGAAUUACUGGGCGUAAAGCGCGCGUAGGUGGUUUGUUAAGUUGGAUGUGAAAUCCCCGGGCUCAACCUGGGAACUGCAUUCAAAACUGACUGACUAGAGUAUGGUAGAGGGUGGUGGAAUUUCCUGUGUAGCGGUGAAAUGCGUAGAUAUAGGAAGGAACACCAGUGGCGAAGGCGACCACCUGGACUAAUACUGACACUGAGGUGCGAAAGCGUGGGGAGCAAACA